AUAUAAAUUAUUUGAUCAAAAUAAGGGGGAAGGUUAUUAAGUGAAAAUACAUGUAAAAUUUUAUAUAGGAGAUUGGUUUAAAAAGUUUAGAGGGGAUAUUUUCAGUGUUUAAAAUUAAUAAAGUUAUUGGGGGGUAACUAUAGUUAAUUUAUUAUUCAUUGGGGGUAAAAUGAUGUGCCAGCAUUCGCGGUUAAACAUCAUCCUAAAAUUUUUUAAUUUAAUUGGGGGGUUUAAUGUAUUAAACAAAUAAAUUUAUUUUAAUGGGGGUGAAAUAAAUUAAUUUUUUUAUUAUAUUGGAGUACUUCAAAAUUUUAAGUUUAAACUAGGAUUAGAUACCCUAUUAUUUAAAUUUAACAAAUCAUCUUUUUAGGAAUUUAUUUACAUAACAAAUUAAAUUGAUUUGGCGGUUUAUUAAACUUUUUAGAGGAACCUGUUGAUUAAAUUGAUAAACCACGAUUUUUUUUACUUUACUUAUUUUGUAUAUCUCUAUAAUUGAAUAUAUUUUGAGAUAAAAUUUUCUUUACCUAAAUUUUGGGUUUAAUUUAGGUCAAGGUGCAGUUACAGUUGAGUUUAAAUGGGUUACAUCAAUUUAUGUUUGUAGAUUUUUAAUUUAAAUUAACUUGAAAAUGGAUUUAAAAGUAAAUUUUUAUUUAAUUAAAAUAAUUGAAUAAUGCUCUGAUUUAUGUACAUAUCGCCCGUCAUUCUCAUUAAUUGAGACAAGUCGUAACAAAGUAGAUGUAUUGGAAAAUGUAUCUA
rnacentral:ncRNA from 1 species